rnacentral:rRNA from 1 species
UACAGAGGUCCCAAGCGUUGUUCGGAUUCACUGGGCGUAAAGGGUGCGUAGGUGGUCGGGUAAGUCUGAUGUGAAAGCUCUGGGCUCAACCCAGAAAUGGCAUUGGAUACUAUCUGGCUAGAGGAAUGGAGGGGGGACUGGAAUACUUGGUGUAGCAGUGAAAUGCGUAGAUAUCAAGUGGAACACCAGUGGCGAAGGCGAGUCCCUGGACAUUUCCUGACGCUCAGGCACGAAAGCGUGGGGAGCAAACAGG